rnacentral:rRNA from 1 species
UACGUAGGGGGCAAGCGUUGUCCGGAUUUAUUGGGCGUAAAGAGCGUGUAGGCGGCCAGGUAGGUCCGCUGUGAAAACUCGAGGCUUAACCUCGAGAUGUCGGUGGAAACCAUCUGGCUAGAGUCCGGAAGAGGAGAGUGGAAUUCCUGGUGUAGCGGUGAAAUGCGCAGAUAUCAGGAAGAACACCGAUGGCGAAGGCAGUUCUCUGGGACGGUACUGACGCUGAGACGCGAAAGCGUGGGGAGCGAACAGG